UUAAUAACCUAGGUAAUCGCCGUUCCACCUUUGGUGGAAGGGAGGAAAGUCCGAACACCAAUAAAAAGAUAGUUGCUAACGGCAACCACUUUCUAGCGCGAGCUAGGAACUAGAACAAGUACAACAGAAAAUACUCCUUUGCCCACUGGGCAAUAAGGGUGAAAUUGUCUGAUAAUAAGCAGACACGUUCCUAAGGUGACUUAGGAAAAGAGGCAAACUUUAUCUGGUGAAAGGCUAAAUAGGCCCUGCGCAAGUAGGGCGGGUAAGCUGCUUGAGUCUUGAAGCAAUUUAAGACCUAGAUAGAUGAUUACCACUCGACUCCGCCUCAUUGCAUUCGGCUUCGCUUGUGGUCUAAGGACCACUUGAUGAUCGAAGAUCCUGAGCGAAACCGAGCGUAGCGAGGUGGAGUCGAAGGACAGAAUUCGGCUUAUAAGGUUAUUAGGCCU
rnacentral:RNase_P_RNA from 1 species